CAAGGAAUCCUUUGUGUUCAAGUGCCAACUAGUUCAAUGUCACACAGUUUUGUGGACCCCGUCCUGAUGACAAUGUGGAAUCUUUUGGAGGCACUUCUAACUCCACAAAUGUUUGUCCAGUCCAGGCAUGUCCAACCCGAAAUUUCUAUGAAUAAAGUUUCAUAUCGUUUAAAAAGCCCUAGCAUCUCUAUGUUUCUGCCAUACGUUUCAUGUUUUUAUUUAUCUUAUGUCUGACCUUGAUUUGGAUCUUGAUGUCAUGCUGGCAUCAAUUGCUGCUCUAGUUGUAGUUCUUCUCUCAUUGAAGAGUGCAUGCUAAAGAGUACAGUAAAAUUAACUAAAAACAUCUGUGUAAGUACCCUUGUUUUUGUUCAUGCAUUGGCAUGUGUAAAUGGUUUUCUAGUAUUCAGGACUUUAAGCUGCACAUAAUUAGUUUGACUUGGAGAUGUUUCCUUUAUCCCUUUUUCAGUGCUAAAAAUUGAGUUGAUUGUAGAAGCAUUAGUUUUGGUUAUUCACAUGUAAGCCGGUUAGUGGGUCAAGGUCUAAUUUGAUUUAAGUUCCAUAUGGAAAUAAUUGGUUAUCAACAACAACAUUGUGAUGAUUGGGGUUAUUUGGGGCAUUGGAUUUUGGUAUCAUAAAAAUGAGACCUUAGCUUACGAUGCUUCCUUUUUUACUAAUGUUUCAUCCUUCUUUUUGUGCUUUUAGUGUUUUUUGAUAGAAGAACUAACUCAACCAUUUGUGAAACUUUCAAUCAGUUGAAUACCCAACUUUUCUGGAACCCGUCACCCUUAAACCAACCUUUUGUAUAGAAGACCCUACUUUUAUGGGAGAUUUGGUGAAGUUCAUUCUUUUAACCAGCCAAGUUUUACAUUCAAUCAUCUCUUUAGGGAGUAUAGUUCCUUUCUUCUGGUGAUAUGCCAUUUGAUGUCAAGAACUUUUGUUAAAGAGAAACUUUUCUGUUUUGAUAAAAACAUUUUCGAAGUGUUUUCUCACACAAUGAUGUGCCUUGAUUUAUUCUUAGUACCUUCCAAGUGGAAGGUGGAAAUUUCAAGUUCUUGUUGUCCAUCAACGGAACAGGAAAGUUGAAAAAAAAUCCUGGAUAUGAGCAUUGAAGAAAAAUCCUAUGAUGUUGAGAAAGUCAAGACUAGGAAAUGCUAUUGACUCUGGCGAUCAAGCGUCUGCAAUGAUUUAGCAAGAAAAUAUCUUGACAGAGAAGCCAAAAUGCUUUAUAAGAUCUUGGCAGGUAGCAAAAUGAGAGUUGAGAGAUGGGCUCGGGGCUUGUGUAGUCAUUCCUAUGAGUCAAUAAUCGAGAGUACCGGGUAGGCAUAAAGGUGAUUUAUGUCUAUUUCGCGAAGAUAACGACUCACGAACUUUUGGCUCGUUGAAAACUCGUAAGGUGAAGCGGGUUGGACACGUGACAAAGCUAUACAUAACCACCAAAGCGGUGGAGCUUCGUAGUAGCCUUUGGGGUGGUGAGGUAUUCCCUCAAAGGUGAAGGUCGGUCCAAAAAAAAAAAAAACAAAAUCAAACACAAGAAAAAAAAUUGAAAGGCAAAAAAGCCGAAUGCAAUAGAAAAAAAUGAAGAAGAAACAAGAACAAGCAAAAUGUGUCUGCCAAGAGAUGAAAUACAUGAAGGCUGAACUCGCAAGAAUUAAAUGCGACAAUCUUUCGUGGAUGUACGAUUUUGGGGUCAAUAUCUGCUCCUCUUUUUUAUUAUCUAGGAUGUCAAGGAUGAUUCCUUUUUGUUCAUAUUCUGGAAAUUGAAAGACAUUCCCUCUAGAGAUUGGACAACAUUGAUGCAAAAUAAAACCUAAUGCUUGUAUGGUACUGAAAGUACACCAAGGUUAUAUUGUGCGUUAUAUUAUUUGCACAACACGACAACACUCAAGCCUAUGAGAUGAAUUGAUCAUUUUUGAACUAUUUCGAAAUUCAAAGUAAAAACUUGAUGUCUCCUGUAUGUUUUCAGGCUUCCUAGGCAUAGUAAAAACUAACCAAUCCCCCUUUGGUCUUAAAAAUGUUUCCCCAUUUCAUUACCAAAUUGCUGGUUCUUCGGUGAAAUAGAUGAAACCCCUCAAACCUAGUCCAACCAUGCUGAGCGUGAUGAAUUAUCCAUCAUUUCCUGUUUAAUCCAUCUUAACAUCAUAACCCAAACUUAAUGUUUUUCUUUUCAAAAGCACUAGGUGAUAUUUUUCAAAAGUUCUUCGAAGUUGCAUAGCAGCACUUAAUUUUUUUUUGUGAGUUAUAUAAAUUUCAUCUGUUUCCUCUUUAUUCUUUGUUUUAUUCUAGCUGCAGUUAAAAUCUUUUUUGUAGUAUAGUUCUGUAAUAAAAGGAUCAGCCGUAUUCUUAAACGUUACUAAUUUCUGGCUCCACCCAUGUCUGUAUCCAUGCAUUUUUAUGUCAUCAAUUUAGGGCUUAUUUCUUUUUUUUUUAUUCCUCUAGCACUUGGAUGGUCCCUUUAUUUUAAUUUACAUGUGACUGGACAUGAUCCUGAAUUGUCUUUUGGUUGUCUUUUAUUUCCAAGAGGCCUCUAUCUGGUGGAAGCUUGAUUUCUCAUUUUGGAUCUGAGAUUGACUACAUAAAUUUUAUACGAGGUAAAUAGCAUGGUGUAUUUAGACAAUGCAGCUACAUCUCAAAAGCCAUAUGUUGUUUUGGAAGUUCUCCAUGAUUAUGUGAGGGAUACAGCUCGAAUGGUCACCACAAUAUUUAAGGUAUCCCAACAUAACGCCCCAUGCCUACCCUUCUCUCUCUCUCUCUCGUCUUGAUUGCUUGCUCACUCACAUGCAUGUUCACAGUUGGACACCCACAAUGAUGCACUCUUCCUAUUUGCAAAGCAAGCAAGAAAAAGAAAAUUCCUUGUUCUGUAAUUCUAUUUUUCUGUAUAUCAAGAAAUGAAAAAAAUAAGGGUAGUUCAUUGGGUGCAUGAUAAAUCAUUUGAUUUAAUCUUUUUUCAAUAAUUUUGUAUUGUGCAUUAUUUCAUUGUUUUAUUAUUUGGCGUAUUGUGCGGUAGGUAUUUGAAAAGACCCUGGAACCUCAGUGUCACCUGUCUUUUCUUAUUGUUUCUAGCAGCAGCAGUCCGACCCAUAUAAGUGCUUAAUGUCCUAUACACUCAUUCAUGUUAAUAAUUUUCUAUAAUUAAUAUGUUACAAGUGAAAUCAUUGGCAAUACUGUCGAGCGUAUCUUGUCUAUGUUAGGUGUAGUGGGCUAUGUCAAGAAUAUAAUCAGGGUCUCUAUCAGAUCUCAACAACCUGGAAUAGCUGCCACACCCCUAACUGUGCCUUUAUAAUCAGGCUGCAUGAACUUAAACCAUGAGAAGAGAAUUCGUUUUGUUGAUACUCUAGGCAUCUAGAAUCUGCAAUACAGCAUCAAGCAUCAGAUGGAACAGACCUACAAGCAAUGGUGCGACCUGCACAUUCCAAGAAUGAAGUCAUUGCUUACAUUUCUAGAGAGGAGAAAAGGCAGAUCGACAUGAAACUGUAUUUUACAGACCAGAAGAGAUCAGUUUCCUGCCAUCUCAAAUAUGUAGAAGCCCUCAGGGAGGACGUGAAAGUCAGACAGCUGCAGACAAGGCAACACAUAUGGGACCCCCAGGGAUAUAACGCCCAGGACUCUCUCAGGGUGAAGGAUUGCCAAGAGAUAAGCUGGCAGUGCUCCAAAGUCCUUACCAACAAACAAGGCCUAUUGACAAGCACCCAUAGACACUUCUUUUGUCCCAAUAAUAAAUCUAGGAUAAUGAUCCAUAUUCAUGUGGAUAAACUUGUACCUAAGAGAGAAAGCAUUACUCUCUGGUAUCUUUAUGUUAAUCUCUCUCUCUCUUUCUGAGAAAUUCUUAUGCAUACAAGUUCUAUGUAAUGACGUCAUGUCAUACAUAUGGUCUGCCAAAACAACAGCAUCGGCAGCUUAGGCAGGUAUUCCUAUGAAAGGAUGUUAGUGGCGUGAUAGUAAAGGGAAGCACCAUUAGCAGCACCAUGAACGGGGUGAGAAUCAAGUCAUGGCAAGCUAACAUGUUAACAAACAUGGUAGGCUCCACAGCUGGAAUUCAUCAACAUAUGCAUCUCAUGUUCAUUCAGCUUGACAAUACAACUGCUGGACAGAUGGUUUUUACGCAUCAGUUAUAUGCAAUGUUCUUUUUCUUGAGUUUUUUGUUCUUUUUUCUCUUCUGCAACUGAAUCAUGUCCUUUAUGUAUCAUCACACUUUCUUGAGCAGUUUUCUUCUUUAAUGCUUUACUUAUGAACUUGUUCCUACAUUUCCCAAGGGGACCCAAUUCCUACAAACAUGCGAUACAAUGCUGCAAAAAUCUUUAGCCAUCCUGAUGUAGUGAAAGAAGAGCCCUGAAGCAUGAACUGAACAAGCUCCAAAAAAAAACAGGUAUGGUAUUGAGCAGGAAUACACCCGUCUUCAAAAAGACGUUCACUGCAGUUAGCAGCUGUGGCAGCAUUAUGUGUGCAUGAUUGCACUACUUAAUCUCUGCAGCAAGCGUUCGCUACCACUUCUCCAGACAAUUUUUCUCUUUCCAACAACCACAUGUUGUACAAUCUCACAGAGAGAUAUUGAACAGGUUCUUCUCAGAAUCUGUGGUGAGGAUCUUGUGUAGCAGCCAUGAAAGCGUUAUGGGGAUGUGGGUACAUGGAUGAAGAAUCAAUGACGGCAGUUGCAGAAGUGGGGUGUUGGUGUUAAAAAUGUUCUUUAUGGAACCCAUCUGAUGGUAAUGUGUACCGAUAUCUGGACCUUGAUCAUAGAGGAUACCCUUGAAGACGUGGUUGCAGUGCUCACAGCAGUCUGACAUGCAAAUUGAUCCUCCCCCUCCUCCAUUGCACUCAGUCUCAUGCACCUGAACACAGCAGGAGUGCGGACCUUUGCAGGCACAGAUCUGAAAACCUCAGACCUUAGAUCCAAGGUUAUCAAACACGCCCUUAGUGAAUAUGUAGCA